GACGAACGCUGGCGGCGUGCUUAACACAUGCAAGUCGAACGGAAAGGCCCUGCUUUUGUGGGGUGCUCGAGUGGCGAACGGGUGAGUAACACGUGAGUAACCUGCCCUUGACUUUGGGAUAACUUCAGGAAACUGGGGCUAAUACCGGAUAGGAUCUCCUGCUGCAUGGUGGGGGUUGGAAAGUUUCGGCUGUUGGGGAUGGUCUCGCGGCUUAUCAGCUUGGUGGUGGGGUAGGUGAUUACCAAGGCUUUGACGGGUAGCCGGCCUGAGAGGGUGACCGGCCACAUUGGGACUGAGAUACGGACCAGACUCCUACGGGAGGCAGCAGUGGAGAGUAUUGCAGAGUGGGCGGAAGCCUGAUGCGGCAACGCCGCGUGCGGGAUGACGGCCUUCGGGUUGUAAACCGCUUUCGCCUGUGACGAAGCGUGAGUGACGGUAAUGGGUAAAGAAGCACCGGCUAACUACGUG
rnacentral:rRNA from 1 species